GAUGAACGCUAGCGGCAGGCCUAACACAUGCAAGUCGAGGGGUAGCAGGAUUAAGCUUGCUUAAUUGCUGACGACCGGCGCACGGGUGCGUAACGCGUAUGCAACCUACCUUAUACUGGGGUAUAGCCCGGAGAAAUUCGGAUUAAUCCCCCAUAGUACUAAUGAAUCGCAUGGUUUAUUAGUUAAAGCAUUGCGGUAUAAGAUGGGCAUGCGUCCUAUUAGCUAGAUGGUGAGGUAACGGCUCACCAUGGCUACGAUAGGUAGGGGGCCUGAGAGGGUGGUCCCCCACACUGGUACUGAGACACGGACCAGACUCCUACGGGAGGCAGCAGUGAGAAAUAUUGGUCAAUGGGCGCAAGCCUGAACCAGCCAUGCCGCGUGCAGGAAGAAUGCCCUAUGGGUUGUAAACUGCUUUUAUUUGGGAAUAAACCUCUUUACGUGUAGAGAGCUGAAGGUACCAGAUGAAUAAGCACCGGCUAACUCCGUGCCAGCCGCCGCGGUAA
rnacentral:rRNA from 1 species